GGAAAAAUCCACUUAGGAAAUAUGGUAAAUACAAACCAAACACAAACAGGUAUACAGAUAUACAGCACAGUGCGAGUUUAACCUCUAGACAGCAACAUGGAGAGAAAUUCUUUAUGCUCAAUUACCAUAUCUUAUUAAAAUUAAAAUUAGAAAAGUGUUUGAAGACCCAACUAUAAAAAUUUGAUAUAUAAAUUGUUUUAAUUGAUUUGGGGACAGAAAAGAGAAAGUCGUCUCACUAUCAAAUCAGAUGCUGCAAGCAAAAUCGACCUGGAAAUGAUAUUACAAAAAGUCACGAAGUUGGAGUACAUAAUUAUAAGCAACAUACCAAUUUUUAAGACUUGCAAAAUCUUCUCGAUGAAAUGGUUCUGAUACUGACAACUCACUCAAGUAAAUAGACCAUAUAUCGAGAAGAAUCUAUAAUAAAAUCCUUUCGGAGAGCGUUCACUUACUUUUUCACACACUCUACGAAAUAUGUGUAGUCCUGAAGCAAUCUAAAAAUUAAUUAUACUCAUAAGAAAUUAAAUGUGACUUAAAAUUAAAUUAAUUUCAAAUUUUAAUUUAAAUGUAGCUCUUUCGGGAAAUGUCGACACAAUCAAGUGCAGAACUGAUGAGUUGCCCAAUGGCUGAUGGGGUAACUAUUCUGACUUAGGUUCAAUUCUAAUUAAUAAGUAAACGAUCCAUAGCCUUUGGAUAACGUAAAAUAAAACCUAACAAAUCUGAAUUUAAUGGACGCCAUCGAAAAAAUAAUCAAGCAGAAGUAAAAAAAAGGAAAACAUCGGAAUUAUAAAUAGAAAUUUCCUUAUAAAAUAUUUUUCGAUGAGGUUCGCAGAGUUAAUGAAUAUAUAACUGCAAUAUUGAUGACUGCUAGAGAAGCGGGAUGAGAACAUGACGACAAGUAGUGGAAGAUCCACCUGAAAAUGAAAUUAAUAACUUAUUAAAUGAAGAAUUAAAUGAAGAUAUUUAUAACAGGUUCAAUGUAUUUCUUCCAAUUCUUUGGUAGAGUGUUAACUGUUGCAGAAUUCAAAAAAUCGAAAUCAAUUAAUUUUUUCCAUUUCGUUUAUGGAAUGUAGUAUGCCUUUAAGUAGUGAAAGUAAUCCACCGUUUCCAACUUAAAAUGUAUCAAAUUACUUAAAUUAAAGAAUACAUAAGGUAUAUUUAAACAACCUAAUCUCCAAGAGAGAUAGUUCUGGACACUAUCAGGAAAAAGUACACAUUUAAUAUAUUCAAAUAUACUUAGAGAUCAGGAAUGUAAUAACAUUUACUUCUACUUUAAGGAUAAAGUUGGGAUUGCUGCUGUUCUUAGAAAUAUACUAGAAAUGUUUGACCUGCGAAUAAUGGCAAGACAAAGUUAUUAGGCAGAAGUCGAGACAUGUGUCACAAAGAAAGUUUAAAACAACAUUUUAUGAAAUUCGACGGUGCCAGUAAAAAACUCAACGUCUUAGAGUUCACAAAAUGAAUUAACCGGGUUUCCAAUCACACAAAUGUACCAUAUGGUCGUACACAAUAUCAGAUUUUCUUAGUGUGGCUGGGUGUUUUCUAUUUGCUAGUGCUAUAGCCCAGUAUAGUCCAAGGCAUUGAAGAGAAACUUGUAAUAUGUAUGAAAAUUGGAAUAGUGACAAAAACCGUAAGCCCAGUAUUUUCAACAAUCUUCAUAUGUUAAAAAAUGAGGAAAG